ensembl:lncRNA
AUACCCUUCAGCAAGCCCUUCCUGUGAUCAGGAGGCCCUGACUGGCCUCCCCCACAGGGGCAUUGUGCUCUAACAUGGCCAUACUGGCCGUAUCGGAAACACAGCCCUUGCUGCUGCAGCGAUCUUUGCUGUCGCAGGCCAGCAGCUACGACAAUAGCUGUGACUAGCCUUUCAUUAGUUAAAUGAGCCACCUUGAGCUUAUCUAAGACAUACUGAAUAACUUCUCCCGAGGUAUUAAGCGUACUUCGGCCGGCUCCCGAGGUAUUAAGCGUACUUCGGCCGGCUCGCAGCAAUGCCUUAACAUUGUCAUGCGAUUUCUGCUGCAAGCAGUCAAUGAUCACUGGCCCUUGGGCCGGUUCCAGGAGAUCAGACCCCUCUGCAGCAGCUAAAAGCCUGUCUGUAAAGCUUUGAAAGGAUUCAUUCGGGCCCUGGGUAAUAUCUGUGCACGGAGUAGGUGGUUCGGCCUUAUGCACAAGUUUAUUAAACGCUUCCACCGUUGCAUUUGUGGCUGCUAUUAGCUCCCCUGGCCUUAGUCUCGCUAGCUGGCCCUGGGGCGAAGCCACUCCCACGGCCUUCCCUGAAAGCCGCUGGAUUCCGGUCCCAUGCAGGGAGCGGCGCGAGCCGACCCCUGUCGCCCCGGCACGGCCCCCCAACUCGGCCACCCAGUCCGUCUCCCAUAACGUAUACUGAACCAGCCUGAGCACCGUACGCAUUAAGUUUGUGAUGUCACGGGGGAAGAGAGGCCCCAGUGCAGCCAAAGUUUGUAGUGCAUUUAAUGUCAGAGGCGAUUUCAGGCCUCUUUUAUCCAUAAAUUCCACCAGGCGCGUAACACCCCCGGGGUCAGGCGGCACCCAUUCGGGACCACGAUCACUCACAAUCACCCGGAAUGCCUCUGGAACUAUACCCUUUCCCAAAGCCUCCGAUCUAAUCCCAUUCCAGUCCGUCAUUUGAUCCCUCCCCCUGCACUCAAAGCCAGUCCCUUCUUUCUCCUCUACACUAUCACUCGCACUACCGCCCCUGGGAGUGACCAGAGACAGUAGGCUAUGCCCCCUGUCCGCAUUGGACGGACCUUUUGUCUGGUCCCUCCCCAUGUGGGCACUAAGUUGAUCCUGCCCGUGUAGAUCACAGCUUCCUCCGCCCUCUUGAGUCAGGUAACACUGACGUAAUUCUGAUAAAGGAUACAACGUUCCGCCUGAGGGGUGUGGAUACGGGAGAGGGGGACGAGACAACGAACUUUCACUCUCUUGUUGUUUGUCUUCUUUUGAACUGAGCGCGGUCGGCUCAGCCGGCGCCAUCCCGCCAACGGUCAUUGGCGGCUCCGUCUCCUCUCGGCCCCUGCAAGAAACUGCUCCCGAACCCCCAUCGGACCCGACCGGGUCCUGUGUCUCACCUCCUCCGCUGAGACCCAAAAGGGAGAGGCCUGUCCCGUACAUCCCGUGCCCCCGCAAGACGCCUACUACAACAAAA